UGGGGAAUAUUGCACAAUGGGCGCAAGCCUGAUGCAGCAACGCCGCGUGCGGGAUGACGGCCUUCGGGUUGUAAACCGCUUUCAUCCAUGACGAAGCGAGAGUGACGGUAGUGGAAGAAGAAGCACCGGCUAACUACGUGCCAGCAGCCGCGGUGAUACGUAGGGUGCGAGCGUUGUCCGGAUUUAUUGGGCGUAAAGAGCUUGUAGGCGGUUUGUCGCGUCGGGAGUGAAAACUCAGGGCUUAACCCUGAGCCUGCUUCCGAUACGGGCAGACUUGAGGAAGGUAGGGGAGAUUGGAAUUCCUGGUGAAGCGGUGGAAUGCGUAGAUAUCAGGAGGAACACCAGUGGCGAAGGCGGAUCUCUGGACCUUUCCUGACGCUGAGAAGCGAAAGCGUGGGGAGCAAACA
rnacentral:rRNA from 2 species